UACGUAGGGUGCGAGCGUUGUCCGGAAUUAUUGGGCGUAAAGGGCUCGUAGGCGGUUUGUCGCGUCGGGAGUGAAAACCCAGGGCUUAACUCUGGGCUUGCUUUCGAUACGGGCAGACUAGAGGUAUGCAGGGGAGAACGGAAUUCCUGGUGUAGCGGUGAAAUGCGCAGAUAUCAGGAGGAACACCGGUGGCGAAGGCGGUUCUCUGGGCAUUACCUGACGCUGAGGAGCGAAACGUGUGGGG
rnacentral:rRNA from 1 species